rnacentral:misc_RNA from 1 species
CCAAUAGCGUAUAUUAAAGUUGUUGCAGUUAAAAAGCUCGUAGUUGAAUUUCGGGGUUAGUAGGUUGGUCAUGCCUCUGGUAUGUACUGGUCUCACUGAUUCCUCCUUCCUGAUGAACCGUAAUGCCAUUAAUUUGGUGUUGCGGGGAAUUUGGACUGUUACUUUGAAAAAAUUAGAGUGUUUAAAGCAAGCUAACGCUUGAAUACACUAGCCUGGAAUAAUGAACUAGGACGUUCGAUCCUAUUUUGUUGGUUUCUAGGAUUGACGUAAUGAUUAAUAGGGAUAGUUGGGGGCAUUAGUAUUCAAUUGUAAGAGGUGAAAUUCUUGGAUUUAUUGAAGACUAACUACUGCGAAAGCAUUUGCCAAGGAUGUUUUCAUUAAUCAAGAACGAAAGUUAGGGGAUCGAAGACGAUCAGAUACCGUCGUAGUCUUAACCAUAAACUAUGCCGACUAGGGAUCGGAUGAUGUUAAUUUUUUAAUGACUCAUUCGGCGCCUUACG